AGCAGUGAUGAGCAAGAUUUGUUUCUGACCUGGUAUUGCUAGAUUUGCAUCUGCUUUGACCAGGAAGUGAUCACUUAAUCUUCUCUCUGAGCUG
ensembl:snoRNA